GUACUGGACUGUAGAUGAGUGUAACAAUUUUGGACAUGAUUAUUUUUAUCUUGUUUUUCUGUUAUUUCGGUUCUAAAUUCGAUUGUAUUAUCAGCUUGUUUUUCUCAGUGAGACAAAGAUGCACUUAUGGGAUCGAGCUGUACCCUUCGAAUAAUCUACUUUCUUGUUCUCUCCAGUUCUUUUUUGCUAUUUUCUUUCUCCCCUUUUCUGUCCUUGUUGGUAGCUUUGAGUUUGCAUUGCUCUUUCUCUCUAGUUUCUUUGUCUAAUUUUGAUAAUUCCGUUUUGCUUACGUCACUGUCUUGUUUGCUACCCCGUCUUCAUCGCUCGAUGAUCCAUUCUGUCUCUGAAUUUCGUGAGUGGAGGUUGUAAAUUUAACUUUUUCCUUUGAUUCCAUUUUUAUUUAGCUUAUGCUAAAUUUUUCUAUUUAUUACAAUAUGUAGUUGAUCAGAGGCAGAUUUCAUUCAUCACAAGUUGUGAUAUUAUUAUUAUUUUCUUUAUUUUUUUUUAUUUCCUUUUUAAAUAUGUAAAUUUUCUUGUUUGUUAUAAAAAAAAAGAAAAGUAAUCAUGUCCGAAAAUUUAAUUGAGUAUUCAUUCUAGCUGGCCUAAGUUAUGGCAAUUUAUUUAUAUUUGCUGAAAACCUCAUUCAUCACAUAUGUAUCCAUAGUAAUUUCUACAAUUUCCGCUGUACAGCGGUCGUAGACUCGUAGACUCGUAGUAUCACAGGAUGUCUUAGUUAUGGCCAUGGAAGCUGAAUCCUUGCUGACCAACUCAUCACAAGGAAACCAAUAUUUCCAGAAAAGAUCUAAAUUCGCCG
rnacentral:lncRNA from 1 species